UACGUAGGGUGCAAGCGUUGUCCGGAAUUAUUGGGCGUAAAGAGCUCGUAGGCGGUUUGUUGCGUCGGCUGUGAAAUCCCGAGGCUCAACCUCGGGUCUGCAGUCGAUACGAGCAAACUAGAGUGUUGCAGGGGAGACUGGAAUUCCAGGUGUAGCGGUGAAAUGCGUAGAUAUCUGGAGGAACACCAGUGGCGAAAGCGCGUGACUGGGCCAUAACUGACGCUGAGGAACGAAAGCUAGGGUAGCGAAAGGG
rnacentral:rRNA from 1 species